AGGUCAUUUUGAGGGCAAUUUCUUAGUAACCCUUUAUAUCGUUCCCAUGCCUCAUAGAACGACUCCCCUGGUUGUUGCUCAAAGUUGGCUAUUGCCUUAUUGAGUUU